rnacentral:rRNA from 1 species
AUUGAACGCUGGCGGCAGGCCUAACACAUGCAAGUCGAACGAGUGGCGGACGGGUGAGUAAUGUCUGGGCAACUGCCUGAUGGAGGGGGAUAACUACUGGAAACGGUAGCUACUACCGCAUACCAUCAGAUGUGCCCAGAGGGGAUUAGCUAGGUGGUGGGGUAACGGCUCACCAAGGCGACGAUGCCUAGCUGGUCCGAGAGGAGGACCAGCCACACUGGAACUGAGACACGGCCCAGACUCCUACGGGAGGCAGCAGUGGGGAAUAUUGGACAAUGGGCGCAAGCCGGAUGCAGCCAUGCCGCGUGUAUGAAGAAGGCCUUCGGGUUGUAAAGUACUUUCAGCGGGGAAGCGUUACCCGCAGAAGAAGCACCGGCUAACUCCGUGCCAGCCGCCGCGGUAAUUC